AGCAGCCGCGGUAAUUCCAGCUCCAAUAGCGUAUAUUAAAGUUGUUGCAGUUAAAAAGCUCGUAGUUGAACUUCGGGGUUCACCCAUUGGUCAGGCUUAAUUGUCUGCACUGGUGAGAUGAGUCUCUACCUUCUGAGGAACUUUCAUGCCAUUUAUUUGGUGUGGUUGGAAAUCAGGACUGUUACUUUGAAAAAAUUAGAGUGUUUAAAGCAGGCUAACGUCUGAAUACAUUAGCAUGGAAUAAUGAAAUAGGACGGACUGAUUCUAUUUCGUUGGUUUCUAGGAUCACCGUAAUGAUUAAUAGGGAUAGUUGGGGGCAUUAGUAUUCAAUUGUCAGAGGUGAAAUUCUUGGAUUUAUUGAAGACUAACUACUGCGAAAGCAUUUGCCAAGGAUGUUUUCAUUAAUCAAGAACGAAAGUUAGGGGAUCGAAGGCGAUCAGAUACCGCCCUAGUUCUAACCAUAAACGAUGCCAACCAGCGAUCAGCCAGAGUUCGUAAAA
rnacentral:rRNA from 1 species